GUCACGUUACAUUGUAUGUACACUGAUGAGCCGAUAGGCGAAACUAGAUGAAGCUCCGUCUGUAGCUGUCUUAUAUCCAAGCAUGUACGUUUUGGGGAAUGUCAACAUCACACUUGAUCGAAAACGAGACAGUGUAAAGUCUAGCUAAGCUCUUACUACCCGUUUGUAUUAAGUACAUUCAUGGCAUCAGUACACCAACGUAACUCACUUGAAGUAAUAGCACCAAGAUUUUGAGAUGACAGAGAAAAAGUGAUUUCCUGUGUGGGUUUAGUAGAAAGACAAAGUUAUCGCACCAUCAAAUAGGAAAACACAGUGAUUACUUCUAGUGGGAUAGGAUGGGAUGUGACUUAAUCACCAAGUAUGUUCUGUACUUUACCAUGUUUGCAUGGUAUUCUAUUUUUAUAUCUUUAUACUGUUUUCACCAAUACUAGAUUAAGAUGUAGCUAUGUUUAAUAUUCCAUAUAUGUUGUAAUUUACAUCCCAAAAUAGAAUUUUGAGUGAUCAAAGUUUUAGAAGUGUUUUAAGGUUUGUGUUACCUUUCUUUGAAAUUUCGGACACUUGUAGUAAAGCACAGCAGUUUGUAAUAACGGUAACUUUUAUUGUUACCUUGUUGUUAUAACGUUUUUGUUAAAUACACAUUUCCUUGAUUAAAGGCUAGACGUAGACCCCAUUGGAUGUUGCACUGUGGCAUCUAUGCUGGGUGUGCAUUGUUGACAAUGUCAAAAUUAAAAUCGUUUCUUUUACCAUCUAUUUUGGUUUCAUUAUUUUCCAAUAAAUAUGUUAAAUGGAGGUCAGAAAAAUGGCGUUUCUUAAUGUAUUUUAGUCUGCUGUCAUUGUAAUUAUUUUGGAAAGCUGCAUUCCACGAGUUUUGAAAAAAAUGAAGCAUUUCAUCAAGGUACCUUGAUUUGUCACUAAAUCACUAUCAUAACGUUAUAAAAAUAAAUAUGAAAUACAG